rnacentral:pre_miRNA from 1 species
GUGUGUGGAUGGUGUUCAGCACCAGGGGCAAGUGUGUUCGCCUGUGUGUGGAUGGUGUUCAACACAAGGGACAGGUGUGCUUACCU